ensembl:lncRNA
AACAACAAUGGCUGUUGUAUUUGAAAAGAUUAUGGUGAGGUUUAAAUUGAUUUCAAUAAAAGUACAUUUUAAGAUUAAUAAGUAAAAUACAGGUCUAGAGGAUGUGUGAGUGCCUGAUUGAGAAAAGUGCCAUUUCAAGAAAAUGGACAAAUCUGCAACCGAUCUUUACUGCAUUUGAGAUGACGUCAAAGAUGGCAUCCAAACCUGGAGUCACCAUGGAGGCCUAGGGGGGGUUAAAGGUCAACUGUCACAGAAGCCACAGACGAUCCUCUUGGGUGAAGAUCCUUGAGACUUUUCCCUUAAACCAGGACACCAUGGCCAGGUUUCACAGGCAGCCGUCCUCUAAUGAUGACCCUUGGCAUGCUGUGGCACCUGGGACCUCCCCUAGCACAAGGGAGGCUGAUGAAAAUUAGCCCAUUCACAUUUCAAACAGAAUUCGGCCUGGCCCCUGAUCACAGUGCCGGGGCCCCCCUCACGGUCCUGCAGAGAGAACACGCACCACCAAAAAAGAUCUCCACCCGGCCAGAGCCUCUCCCCUGGCGAUCAUUGCGGGAACACAUGGUGACAUGACUGUGGGACGCGAGGGGUCUGGAUGUACUCCGGCUGUUAUUCCCUGUUAAAAGAUUUAAACCAUUGGGGUAUGAUAGGUCCCUUUGAUGUUUGCUAAGCAUAGAGCUAGGGAACAAGGAAGAAGGAGAAAGGGGGAGAGAGGUGGGGUGAGGUACAGUGGUGAUGGUAGCGGUGAUGCGGGGCAGAGGCUUGUUACUAGAAGGCAAUCAUCUUUGUGGAGCCACACCAGAGGAGGGAGGAGACGCGCAGAAUCUGUUUCAACGCUGCUACGCCGACAAAGGGAAGAUAAAAGACAGAGGUUGAAGCCGAGGCCAAGACCCACUGUGAAGCCAAGAUUACUGCCAGCACAAAGUUUUGGCACUUCUACCACUACAGCAACUUUUACGUUCCUAAUUGCCCCAAUUUGGCCCUUGUAUAGAAGUGGGAAAUCGUAGCAGACAUCACAGUCAUAGCGAUAUUUUUUUAAACUACAGGAAGAGUUCUCAUUGGCUCUUCAGAUCAGUAUCAAUUUCAGGUAUGUACGUUUAUGGUAAACCGUUACAACUUGUUGUUCUUGAUUGUGUUGGAGAAAAACAAGUUCAGUGGGACUAAUUAUUCAACA